rnacentral:rRNA from 1 species
GAUGAACGCUAGCUACAGGCUUAACACAUGCAAGUCGAGGGGAAACGAUAGGGAAAGCUUGCUUUUUCUAGGCGUCGACCGGCGCACGGGUGAGUAACGCGUAUCCAACCUGCCCAUCACUUGGGGAUAACCUUGCGAAAGUAAGACUAAUACCCAAUGACGUCUCUAGAAGACAUCUGAAGGAGAUUAAAGAUUUAUCGGUGAUGGAUGGGGAUGCGUCUGAUUAGCUUGUUGGCGGGGUAACGGCCCACCAAGGCGACGAUCAGUGGGGUUCUGAGAGGAAGGUCCCCAACAUUGGAACUGAGACACGGUCCAAACUCCUACGGGAGGCAGCAGUGAGGAAUAUUGGUCAAUGGGCGAGAGCCUGAACCAGCCAAGUAGCGUGCAGGAUGACGGCCCUAUGGGUUGUAAACUGCUUUUAUAAGGGAAUAAAGUGAGUCUCGUGAGACUUUUUGCAUGUACCUUAUGAAUAAGGACCGGCUAAUUCCGUGCCAGCCGCCGCCGUAA